CAGGAGCCAUCAAGGGCUAAAUUAUCUCACCUACUAUGGCAAUUUCAACAUUCCGACAAUCUCGGGAUCGUAUGAUCACACAGUUAUGCAACCAGCUGUCCGAUAUCUUUCUAUAUAAACAACCAGAGCUCCGAAGAUUCAGAUAAGUCAAAUUAAAUCUCUCUCAGAGAACUCAUUGCUGCUUUUUUUGUUCUCUAUUUUAAUGAUUUGAGCGUCGGAGGAUCUUUGUCGGAGCCACAACUUCUGAUUUGGGAUUU
rnacentral:lncRNA from 1 species